GCUGGAAUAGCUCAGUCGGUAGAGCGUGGUCGUGGGUUCGAGCCCCACGUCGGGCA
rnacentral:tRNA from 1 species